rnacentral:rRNA from 1 species
AACGAACGCUGGCGGCAUGCCUAACACAUGCAAGUCGAACGAGACCUUCGGGUCUAGUGGCGCACGGGUGCGUAACGCGUGGGAACCUGCCCUUAGGUUCGGAAUAACUCCCCGAAAGGGGUGCUAAUACCGGAUAAUGUCUUCGGACCAAAGAUUUAUCGCCUUUGGAUGUGCCCGCGUUGGAUUAGCUAGUUGGUAGGGUAAAAGCCUACCAAGGCGACGAUCCAUAGCUGGUCUGAGAGGAUGAUCAGCCACACUGGGACUGAGACACGGCCCAGACUCCUACGGGAGGCAGCAGUGGGGAAUAUUGGACAAUGGGCGAAAGCCUGAUCCAGCAAUGCCGCGUGAGUGAUGAAGGCCUUAGGGUUGUAAAGCUCUUUUACCCGGGAUGAUAAUGACAUUACCGGGAGAAUAAGCUCCGGCUAACUCCGUG